rnacentral:tRNA from 2 species
GGAGAGAUGUCCGAGCGGUUGAAGGAGCACGCCUGGAAAGCGUGUGUACUUGAAAGGGUACCGAGGGUUCGAAUCCCUCUCUCUCCGCCA